rnacentral:rRNA from 1 species
UCUGGUUGAUCCUGCCAGUAGUCAUAUGCUUGUCUCAAAGAUUAAGCCAUGCAUGUCUAAGUAUAAACUUUUAUACUGUGAAACUGCGAAUGGCUCAUUAAAUCAGUUAUCGUCUAUUUGAUUGUGCCCUUACUACAUGGAUAACCGUAGUAAUUCUAGAGCUAAUACAUGCGAAAAGUCCCGACUUCUGGAAGGGAUGUAUUUAUUAGAUUAAAAACCAAUGCGUUUAACGACGCUUUUCGGUGAUUCAUAAUAACUGUUCGAAUCGCAUGGCCCUCGUGCCGGCGAUGUUUCAUUCGAGUUUCUGCCCUAUCAACUUUCGAUGGUAAGGUAUUGGCUUACCAUGGUGACAACGGGUAACGGAGAAUUAGGGUUCGAUUCCGGAGAGGGAGCCCGAGAAACGGCUACCACAUCCAAGGAAGGCAGCAGGCGCGCAAAUUACCCAAUCCCGAUUCGGGGAGGUAGUGACAAUAAAUAACGUUGCAGGCGCCAACGGCUUCUGCAGUCGGAAUGAGUACAAUAUAACACCCUUAACGAGGAACAAUUGGAGGGCAAGUCUGGUCCCCCGU